GGAUGUAGCUAGGUGGCAAAGUGUCUGCCUUGCAUUCACAAAGCCCUGGGUUCGAAUCCCAGUUCCA
rnacentral:tRNA from 1 species